rnacentral:rRNA from 1 species
UACGUAGGUGGCAAGCGUUGUCCGGAUUUACUGGGCGUAAAGAGCGCGCAGGCGGUCGUUCAAGUCGAGUGUGAAAGCCCCCGGCUCAACUGGGGAGGGUCAUUCGAUACUGUUCGACUCGAAGGCAGGAGAGGGAAGUGGAAUUCCCGGUGUAGUGGUGAAAUGCGUAGAUAUCGGGAGGAACACCAGUGGCGAAGGCGACUUCCUGGCCUGUUCUUGACGCUGAGGCGCGAAAGCUAGGGGAGCAAACGGG